AGUUUUAUCAUAAUCAUGUAAUGUCGCAAAUGUCGCAAUACCGUUAUAUUAUUAUCAAAACUAUUAAGGAAUUUUAUUAUUACAGAUCAGUGUGGAUUAGACACGUGUCAGACGGCGCCAGCGCCGGCGUUCAUUCGAUGGAGAUGAUCACGUGAUAAAUGUGGUGUUUACUUUGAAUUACACAAUAUAUUAAUUAUUGUUGUAAGAAACCAACUAUUACGUUAAUUGUUUAUCGAUAGUCUUAUUUCAUUAUCUAUCAUCGAUCGUAAGUGGUUUUUUUAAAGAUAAGCUUCAGAAUUCUAAAUAUCACAAUGAAGAUUUGAUUAAAUUAGUUAUUAUAACAA
rnacentral:misc_RNA from 1 species